AAGAUUUUGUGUACAGGAGGGUGCUCAGAACUUAAGCUUCACCAGCCUUCCAACACCUGGAAAACAGGUUUGGUGCCGGAUCUUCUGUUGUGGAAAUGAAGAUGCAGCUGGCCCUGGGCUAAAGCAGAUUCAAGGAAUUCCCUGCCCUUCAGAACUGCCAGAUUAUCCCCCAGGAAAUGGAGGCCAGGGCUUGCAAAGAUCUUCUCUUCCCAAGAUUUGUUGAGUGGUAUGGUGAAAUUCUGCAACCUAAAAUUCUCCAGAAAAUGUAUCUACUCUUUUCUCUCUCAUAUGUAGUUACUUCAGAGAGAAAACUCCAAAUUGGCUCUGAAGAUCUACAGGAGGAGGUGGCAGAUGCCAAGAUUGCCUUCUCAGAACUAGCCAGGCAUCCUCAGAAGGCCAAGGCAUUGAAGUCAGACAGGCCACCACUGUAAACUCCUUCCAGGAAAAGACCCUAUUGAGAUCAGGCUUCCUGUUCUCAGCCAACUGUGGUUGAGCAUGUUGCUAAUUCAGAAACAGCUGGGAGCAGAAUGAGUGCAUUACCCUCACACCUGAGCCUCUGUCUGGGUUGGAAGCCUUUCCAAUUACCCAUGGCCUCUUAUAAGAUGUGACUCAAUCAACUGUGAGUGAAAUGUUUGAUUGGAUGGUUUCCAUGGAGGUGUUGCCCCGCCCAUUCAGGGUGUGUUGGUUGGAUCACUGGAGUCGUAUAGAGGAUUUCACGGAAGGAGGGAACUUGGAGCAGCUGUGAGUGACAUUUUGGAGAGCAACUGAGAGUGAGGAAGAGGAGCUGCAGCUAAGACAGGACAAAAAGCCCCAAGAGCAACAUUUUGGAGAACAUCAUUUUGAAA